CCCCGAUCUCUGCAUGCUUCCUUCCUCCGGGCCUGGUCCUUCGA
rnacentral:tRNA from 1 species